ACAUGCCAAGUCGGAGGCGAAUGGAUUAAGAGCUUGCUCUUAUGAAGGUAGCGGCGGACGGGUGAGUAACACGUGGGUAACCUGCCCAUAAGACUGGGAUAACUCCGGGAAACCGGGGCUAAUACCGGAUAACAUUUUGAACCGCAUGGUUCGAAAUUGAAAGGCGGCUUCGGCUGUCACUUAUGGAUGGACCCGCGUCGCAUUAGCUAGUUGGUGAGGUAACGGCUCACCAAGGCAACGAUGCGUAGCCGACCUGAGAGGGUGAUCGGCCACACUGGGACUGAGACACGGCCCAGACUCCUACGGGAGGCAGCAGUAGGGAAUCUUCCGCAAUGGACGAAAGUCUGACGGAGCAACGCCGCGUGAGUGAUGAAGGCUUUCGGGUCGUAAAACUCUGUUGUUAGGGAAGAACAAGUGCUAGUUGAAUAAACUGGCACCUUGACGGUACCU
rnacentral:rRNA from 1 species